rnacentral:snoRNA from 1 species
UGAUUGUUUCAAAGAAGGCUGAUGGGGCUGUGAAACCAGAAGCUCUUAACGCUGUAACCAAAGACUGAACUUCUCCGUAGGAUGCUGCAGUCACUCAGCAGUGCUGUGUUUCCCUGAGGAGUUACAAAU